AUUUAUGUAGUUACCGGUGCAUCUGGUUACUCAAAGAAAAAACAAAACAAACGGAUCGGCGAUUAUUAUAAUAUACAUACGCAACAUCAGACAGACCACCACUGUCAAUUUAGGCUUCUGGAAUUUCCAACCUAAACACAUCCGGACGUGGUUAUGGAAAAAAGACCCUAGUUCACCCCUCGAGGUACCAGUUUGAUCGCUUCAAUUAUCACGGAUGGCAACUUACCCUAUCCAGGAAACGCUGGAAUUGUAUAACUCACGGUAGUUCGGAUCGGUUUAUGCAUCUCUUCAUGUUAGUGUGGCCACAAUUCUUCGAAUGACGGACUGAUCUAACGGCAAAACAUUUCCAAUACAAGCAAUGCCAUAAUGAGUCCGGCAAAAAGUGCGAUGAUACGACGUACGACUACUAACCAUAGUAAUAUUAGCCUGGGUAAUGCAAUCAAUUUUCAACCUGCACGUGCAGAUGGUGUACAACAUGCAAACGUUCUGAAAGAUUAUUGAAAAUAAAUACGUUACUGCUAUAUACUAGCUACACCUACAAUGCCACUUAACACUACUGGCCGAAUAUACUGCCUAUUGUCGCAUGACCACCCCCCGCCCUGGGGA